ACGAACGCUGGCGGCGUGCUUAACACAUGCAAGUCGAACGCUGAAGCCUGGUGCUUGCACCGGGUGGAUGAGUGGCGAACGGGUGAGUAAUACGUGAGUGACCUGCCUUUGACUCUGGGAUAAGCCUGGGAAACUGGGUCUAAUACCGGAUGCGACUACUGCCCGCAUGGGCUGGUGGUGGAAAGGGUUAUGUACUGGUCUUAGAUGGGCUCACGGCCUAUCAGCUGGUUGGUGGGGUAAUGGCCUACCAAGGCGACGACGGGUAGCCGGCCUGAGAGGGUGACCGGCCACACUGGGACUGAGACACGGCCCAGACUCCUACGGGAGGCAGCAGUGGGGAAUAUUGCACAAUGGGCGCAAGCCUGAUGCAGCGACGCCGCGUGAGGGAUGACGGCCUUCGGGUUGUAAACCUCUUUCAGCAGGGAAGAAGCGGAAGUGACGGUACCUGCAGAAGAAGCGCCGGCUAACUACGU
rnacentral:rRNA from 1 species